rnacentral:pre_miRNA from 1 species
GUUGCCGUAGUCUCUGAUUCGCUUGGUGCAGGUCGGGAACUGGUGAUUUUUUUUGGUUGUUAAAAAAUCUUCCGCCGCCUUAGCAGCAGCCGUAAUCGGCGGAGAGAUUGAUUCGUUCUGUCUGCUCAGCUGGUGGUAUUCCGGAUCCCGCCUUGCAUCAACUGAAUCUGAGCCUGCGGUGAAC